UGUUUAGGUCGCUGAUACCGUAUAGGUCGCUGAUACCGUAUAGGUCGCUGAUACCUUGGGAGGGGAGCACCAGGGAGGAGAUAGGGCUGACCUUGCAACUAACUCGGAGGCACUUCACAAGGGUAGAGCUCCUCAAGGUUGUUCGACAGCAGAUCUGCAGGAAGACAAUCGGUCUCCUUUGCUACUGGAGCAGUCUCUCUUCCGAGUAGCUCAUUACAUGUGGGGAUACAAUAGCACUUUUGAAAUAAAAGAAACCAGCAUCCCAAACCGAAAGACUCCGCCAGCGGCAUCAACACACAGGCCGUUGUUAGGAGCAGCUCACCCAGCACGCCAAGAGUGAUUUCCAUGCCUGGAAAUAAUUUGCAUCUUGGGUCUUGACCCUUCCCAAAAGCCUUGUUAUUUGUAUCCGCUUUUUAAAUGACCGGCGGCUGGCCAUGUAGCUGUAGGCUUGUACUGGCAGAGUAAGUUUAGGUAGACUGCCCAGGUGCUGGGAAAGAGAGGAACCUUAGAAAGUGUCUAGCUCCGGAUUUAGAAAAUACAAACGGGAAAUAAAAGCUAGGGGGCCUUUUGAACACAGAACGUAAUUCUCCCCUCCCUCAUAAUAAAAAAUGGGGGGGGGGGGGCAGUAAAGAGGUGAAUUCUAGGGAAGCAAACAAGAUUGUGAUCAGACCAGCACGGUAGGGCCUGAGAACCAGUGGGAGUCUAGGUUUUCCCCAGGGCAAGUUUACUCAGAGGCAGGUGUACCCCCAGACACCGCUCUCGGGUCCAGGCUGUAAGCUGGGUACCUCGGUCCUGCUCUCAAACCUGUGGGGCAGCAGACAGGGGCUUCUGGGGUUGAGAGCAAGUGCUCAGUGUUUGAAUGUCAGCCGUUACCUGUUAGCGUUACUGGAGGGGGUUUUCAGUUUUUAUACUGCAGCUUAUUUCAAAAAGGAUUGAGAGGACUUGUUUAGUGGGUGGUGUUGAAUACAGUAACCGUCCUCCUAAUCCUGGUUAGUCUCUGUCACUCUCGGCCACUGGGCUGGGGAGUUGGGGUGGGCGUGGCUGUAGAGACCCUCCCCCUCUGGCUUAGGAAGAGGGAGGGAAGACUCCAGGGGCGAGAACCACCAGUUCCCGGGCUUCCGUGCGCUGUCCCAGGGGCCAUGAGGAGAAGCCACAGAGCAGCGCACAGGAAUCAGACACCUGGGAUGUUAGUCCUGUCUCCCCCUGAUGGCGGUGGGCCUGAGCACACUUCAGCAUUCUGGACCACCCGGAGGUCGGCACUCUGUGUGCACCAGUCCUGGCUCCUGGAACAUAUUCCCAUUCCCAGGCAUUGCCUUUGAGCCCUCUAAGAGGUCCUGUUGGCUGGUAUUCCAUAGGAUACAACCCGUCACGUCAGGUGGAAGGUCCUACAAAAUACUCCUGGCGAAAAGGAGUCAGGGACGUUUAGAAAACGGUGUCCAGAGCUAAAGGAAAGAAAGGUUGUGUGUGUUGUGAGAGGUAAGGAGGGGGUAGUAGAAUAAGAGGAAAGAGGGACCUCUCAGGAGAGAGCUUGUGUGCAGAGGGGUGCUGUCUCUUACACACACCCCGAUGCCCCAGCGGUGUGGGAAGCUGCCCUGGACUGGCCUGUCCCACACACAGAAGUUUGUGUCCCCAGAUCCUAAACAGCCUCCUUCCUGUGAGGACAAAGUCCUGAGGGCUGGGGCGCAGAUUGAACGCGAAGCAGGGAACUUGGUGAGGUGGCUACAAAA